rnacentral:tRNA from 1 species
CCUCUCAUGGCGUAGUGGUAACGCGCCCCAACUAGAGAUCGGGGAGUCGUGAGUUCGAUUCUCACCGAGAAGA